rnacentral:rRNA from 1 species
UCCAGACUCCUACGGGAGGCAGCAGUCGGGAAUAUUGCGCAAUGGAGGAAACUCUGACGCAGUGACGCCGCGUAUAGGAAGAAGUUUUUCGGAAUGUAAACUAUUGUCGUUAGGGAAGAGAAAGGACAGUACCUAAGGAGGAAGCUCCGGCUAACUACGUGCCAGCAGCCGCGGUAAUACGUAGGGAGCGAGCGUUAUCCGGAAUUAUUGGGUGUAAAGGGUGCGUAGACGGGUAAAUAAGUUAGUUGUGAAAUCCCGCGGCUCAACUGAGGAACUGCAACUAAAACUGUAUAUCUUGAGUGCGGGAGAGGAAAGUGGAAUUCCUAGUGUAGCGGUGAAAUGCGUAGAUAUUAGGAGGAACACCAGUGGCGAAGGCGACUUUCUGGACCGUAACUGACGUUGAGGCACGAAAGUGUGGGGAGCAAACAGGAUUAGAUACCCGGGUA